rnacentral:rRNA from 1 species
CACGUAGGGGGCAAGCGUUGUCCGGAUUUAUUGGGCGUAAAGAGCUCGUAGGCGGCUUAGUAAAUCGGGUGUGAAACCUCCAGGCUCAACCUGGAGACGCCACCCGAUACUGCUGUGGCUAGAGUCCGGUAGGGGAGCGUGGAAUUCCUGGUGUAGCGGUGAAAUGCGCAGAUAUCAGGAGGAACACCAGCGGCGAAGGCGGCGCUCUGGGCCGGUACUGACGCUGAGGAGCGAAAGCGUGGGGAGCAAACAGG